UGUUGCACUGGUUACGGCACCCCCGAGCUACACACCACGCAUGUAUCAUUACUUUCCAGCACACAUGACACAUCCCUUCUGUUACUAUCCCUCACUGGCACCGCAACAGUCACGGUAUCCAGGCCUCUUCAUGCGUCCGGACGAGGCGAACCUGUACACGACGCUGGAGCAGACGAUGAGCAGCAAUCCGAACGUGUACUUCCAGCGGGGUGGCGGGGUCCAUCCGGGAAUGAUGUACUAAGAGCACACUGACUUAACUAUAGAGCCACGUCAAGCAGAAGGAGGGGUGGAGGGGGGUCAAUUCCUACUACAAACAAUACUUACGUUGAUUUCGAGAAGCUGAGGACCCCCCUCCUUGAGAAAUGUGUUGGCCGGAGUUUCUUGAAAACAACAAAGAAAAAAUCGAAGAUAUCGAAAAGUUUCCAAACUUAGUAGAUACCGAGAAGAGAAAGAGACCCGGCGACAAAGUAAAAGUAUUUUUCAUCAACCGCAGCCGGAUUUAGUGAAUAUUACCAACUGCAAAAAAAAGAAACUAACACGUAACGCAAAAUAAAGAGAAAAAAGUAAAACAUGAAAGUGAUUUUAGGCGGUAAGAAAACAAAAGCAGAAGAUUGCGCUACGUACUAAUUAGAGAAUAGUUUGAAGAAAAAUCUUCAUCGAAGCGACCAUCGCGAUCCGGAAUCCCGACAUGAAAGAUGGAGACAGAGGACACACACACCCACAUACACUUUCCCAGUACAUGAUAGUUUAACGACGCCAGAAAGUAGACAACUCAGCAGCUUUCAGGACUACUAUUUUCACUUCAUUAGAAUUUAAGUUUUCGAGAAAAUGUGAUCUCUCUACCACGUAACGGACAGGCGAGACCUACCACGAGGCAAUUGUUGACACGUGUCUUAAGGCAGCAGCAGCAGCAGCAACAUCAUUAUCAUUAUCAGAUUUUAAGGGCCCCCCGAAAAUCAUCAUGUAAUUUCCCUUCCGUGAAAGCUCAAAACACACAUAUUCAUCAAGACGAAAAAAAUUACAUCACUUUUAAUCGGAGCCAACGCAUUCACGGAGAGACCUCGGCGUUCGAAAAAUUUUCGCACCUCAACCCAUCAAUCCGAGUAAUCAACAGUGAAGAAGAAAUAGGCUUAGCAUAAGGUCUGUGUAAAACAACAAUUUAUUAGGCAAAUCUCCCCCACAUUUUCACUCCACACUCCACAAUAAGUAAGCAAAAUCGCAUCAUAAAAGUAGUGUUCAUUUUCAUCGCGUGCGGGCAAUCCCGCGAAACGACUAACUUAUAGACUAAAUCCGUUUAAAGUAAAGAAGAAGACGAAGGCGAACAAUGUGUAAUUUAAGGCGAAACGAUAACUUUAAGGGAAGCGGCAUGUUCAAAACUAUGACAAAAAGCGCAAGAAACAAGAAACUCUCUCUGUGAAUGAAUUUAACAAGAAAGCACCGCGCACAGGUGCCUUAAGGUAGGCAACCUGUGCAACGCGGUGCAGACACCUAGAGCUAGAGCAAACGAAACUGUCUUCAUCCUUUUAUUCCCCCUCACGGUAGCAUUGUAAGCAUUUCCGAUUUUAAAUCUCAACUGUGCUGAAAUCUUAGGCGAUUCGUGAAUGAAUAAAUAAAUAAAUCGAUUGAGUACCCUGUAAGGAAGAAGGGAGAUGCAAGUGAGCAAAAAAAAGUAGCAGUAGCAUGCGGUACGAGUGAAAAUUGUUGUACAUAUUAGUGCUUAAUGUUUCGGAGAGACGAAUAAAAAUUGGAAGUAACUUUUAAGAUUGAUAAAUGAAA